AAGGCUUCGAAUUUGAGGAGAUUUUGCUUGCACUUUUAUCACUGUGUUCAGUAACGUUUUAUUGAAGCCAAUAAAUGUGUUCCCCUCGCUAUCCAAUGCUGCAAUUUGUGUAGCAUUAGGACGUCGGGGAACAAAAUUUCCCACUUUAGUGUGGUGCUAAAUUGUUAUGAUGCGACAUUUCACGGAUCUUCAUUGAUUUGUUUAUGAUCCCAUUCUUUUUAAAUCAUAUCAGAUGAUGAAAUUGGAAAUAUCUUAGGACAACUUCCUACUCAGUAAUUAUUGCUGUGGAUGAGAAUAAAUUUUCCAUGCUGAUGAUGUG